rnacentral:rRNA from 1 species
UGCUAUCGGAUGAUACUAAGCCAUGCGAGUCUUUGUAGUAAUACAAGGCAGACGGCUCAGUAACACGUAGUCAACCUACCCUAUGGACAAGAAUAAUCUCGGGAAACUGGGCAUAAUUCUUGAUAGAUCAUAAUGCCUGGAAUGGUUUAUGGUUAAAAUGAUUCGUCGCCAUAGGAUGGGACUGCGGCCUAUCAGCUUGUUGGUGAGGUAAUGGCCCACCAAGGCGAUUACAGGUACGGGCUCUGAGAGGAGAAGCCCGGAGAUGGGUACUGAGACACGGACCCAGGCCCUAUGGGGCGCAGCAGGCGAGAAAACUUUGCAAUGUGCGAAAGCACGACAAGGUUAAUCCGAGUGAUUUCUGCUAAAGAAAUCUUUUGCCAGUCAUAAAACCACUGGUGAAUAAGGGGUGGGCAAGUUCUGGUGUCAGCCGCCGCGGUAAAACCAGCACCUCAAGUGGUCAGGAUGAUUAUUGGGCCUAAAGCAUCCGUAGCCGGCUUUGUUAGUUUUCGGUUAAAUCCAUGUGCUCAACACAUGGGCUGCCGAAAAUACUGCAUAGCUAGGGAGUGGGAGAGGUAGACGGUACUCAGUAGGAAGGGGUAAAAUCCUUUGAUCUAUUGAUGACCACCUGUGGCGAAGGCGGUCUACCAGAACACGUUCGACGGUGAGGGAUGAAAGCUGGGGGAGCAAACCGGAUUAGAUACCCGGGUAGUCCCAGCUGUAAACGAUGCAGACUAGAUGAUGCAUUGGCAUAAUAGCCAUUGCAGUG